UACGGGGGGAGCAAGCGUUGUUCGGAUUUACUGGGCGUAAAGGGCGCGUAGGCGGUCACCGCAAGUCAAUUGUGAAAUCUCCGGGCUUAACUCGGAAAGGUCAGCCGAUACUGCGGGGCUAGAGUGCAGAAGGGGCAACUGGAAUUCUCGGUGUAGCGGUGAAAUGCGUAGAUAUCGAGAGGAACACCUGCGGCGAAGGCGGGUUGCUGGGCUGACACUGACGCUGAGGCGCGAAAGCCAGGGGAGCGAACGGG
rnacentral:rRNA from 1 species